CAGUCGCCGCGGGAAAACGGAGGGAGCUAGCGUUGUUCGGAAUUACUGGGCGUAAAGCGCGCGUAGGCGGUUACUCAAGUCAGAGGUGAAAGCCCGGGGCUCAACCCCGGAACUGCCUUUGAAACUAGGUGACUAGAAUCUUGGAGAGGUCAGUGGAAUUCCGAGUGUAGAGGUGAAAUUCGUAGAUAUUCGGAAGAACACCAGUGGCGAAGGCGACUGACUGGACAAGUAUUGACGCUGAGGUGCGAAAGCGUGGGGAACAAACAGGAUUAGAUACCCGCGUAGUCCCUGUCUCUUAUAC
rnacentral:rRNA from 1 species